GCCCUAAACCUCAGUAGUUAGAUAACAAAACUACUCGCCAGAAUACUACGAGCUACAGCUUAAAACUCAAAGGACUUGACGGUGCUUUACACCCCCUAGAGGAGCCUGUUCCGUAAUCGAUAAACCCCGAUCCACCCCACCCUCUCUUGCUCAGCCUAUAUACCGCCAUCUUCAGCAAACCCUAAUGAAGGUCACAAAGUGAGCGCAAACGCCGUCACCGCGAGUACGUUAGGUCAAGGUGUAGCCUAUGAGAUGGUAAAAAAUGGGCUACAUUUUCUACCUCAGAAAAUUCCACGAAAACCCUUAUGAAACCUAAGGGCCCAAGGAGGAUUUAGCAGUAAAUUAAGAAUAGAGUGCUUAAUUGAACCAGGCCAUAAAGCGCGCACACACCGCCCGUCACUCCUCUCAAAUAUAUUUAAGGAACAUCUUAACUAAACGCCCUAAUAUUUAUAUAGAGAGGAUAAGUCGUAACAUGGUAAGCGUACUGGAAGGUGCGCUUGGAUAAAU
rnacentral:rRNA from 1 species